GGUGAUGGUAUGAAAGAAUGACGUGAUGGCGUGAACGCUUUGAUGACUGACUUCACAAGGACAGACCAUCGUGACUUCAUUAUCAUCAGCAUCACUCCUAAUCUCUGAUCUGGCCAAGCCUUACUAAAAGCUAAAGUAAGACCUUACUAAGUCAGGCUCCGGGUGGCACGCUGGUAAUCUCAGCACUGGAGACCAGGGAGGAAGAUCAGGUGUUCAAUACCUUCCUGAACUACAUACCACAGGAAACUCAUGGAACAAGGCCUACUAAUAUCUCCUCAUGAGAGGAAGGUGUAUAUUCAGGAGCAAGUUGACCAGAACAACAACUCUUCCAUUACUGAAGCUGCCCAUAAGUGGCCCAAGAAACUCCUCAGUGGUGCAGGUUCUUUGUGAAUCAUCCAUGCUGCAGAGGACCUACAUUCAAUUCUCAGCACACACAGGGCAGCUCAACCACCUGCUACUCCAUUUUCAGAGGAUUCAACGCCCUCCCCUGUCCUCUGCAGGCAUGUGAUAUUAUGCAUGAACUCACACAUGGGCAUACAUACACAUGAAAAUAAACAUUGUUUUUUCGUCUCUGACCUGGG